AACGAGAUCAGAGGUACUUCUCAAAUUGAUCGGAAAGAUCCACAUUCCCAUUAAAACACACACAUACAAACACUAAGAGCUGAAAUCAACAUAAGCAUCUUUAUUCAACACAAUACUUACAAUACUAGAGAAGGGGGGACAGUCGUUAACGGGAACAACACAUUUUUUAUUAGGGUUAUUGGUUACAUUUAAAGAAAUACGCUUUACAUCUAAUCAAAGUUAGGAUGUUAACAAAUACUGUAAAUCAGACAGUGCAAAAGCAAUUUAUUGAUAUUUCCAAAGUUCAAAACUUGAAAUAAAAUUCAGAGUCCUCAAUGACCGAGACAAGACCGAGUACAAAUGCGAUCGAGUCCGAGACGAGACCAAGACCAUCAAAAAGUGGUCUUAAGACCGGUUUCAAGUACUACAACACUAGUGAAAGCCAUCUGUUAUUUUAUACCUUAAAAGAGUCUUAAUUUUUCAUUUGUCAUUUGGUAAAUCAUGUGGGUUCGUUCACCCAUUAAAAAUCUCCUUUCCUUGCAGGAAACCCAAUAAAACUCUAUAUUACAAUACAUUAUGCUCAAUUAAUCCAUUAUUCUUUACACUCUUCCAAAAAGUGCCAUCACAUGAACGAAAACUCAAUAUUUUGCUUCCAGUAAUGAAUCCUUAUGUCACGCAUAAUAUAUAUAAUAUAUAAAUCUCAUAAUGUCUGUCGAUGACUCUCAGGACCUGGUGGGCUUGGAGAAGGACCCCCCUGUCGCCCCCCCAACAGAUACAGUGUCUUCCACGUGAUUGUAGGGAUAAAUCUAAAAAUGUCAUCUCUGUACGGAGAUUUAAAAUAAUAACAAAGGCUUUCUAGAAGCAGGUGUAGAUAAAAGCAACAGACGGACGCUUGGUAAAACUCUUUGUUCUGUCAUCUUCAGUCCGUUUCAUUUCUGUGUGUCCAGGAUGUUUUUAGCCUAGCUUAGCAUAAAGACUGAAAGCAGGGGGAAACUGUUAGCCUAACUCCUUCAAAAACAGAAAAAAAAAAUCCUACUUCAAAACAGCUCAAAUGGUUUGAUUAACGUGUUGCAUGUCAACUACUUGCAUUUGCAUUACAUAUAUUAAGGCAUUUUAAUGUGCUUGGAUUAAGGGUCUUUAAGCACCUCUGAGUUUAUACCUUAAAGUAACUUAAGUUAAUUAAUGUUGGCUUUGUUACAUGGAAAAAGCUACAGGAUUUACCCCAGAUUUGGGUUCAUUAAUAGAAAAUUUUAGAUAUUAUAAUGCUUUUCUGGAUGGAUUAAGACUUCACGCUAAAACCAUCUCUGAAUAUUGACCUUAUUGGAAAAUUAAGGCUCUUUGAAGGUUUAAAAUAACAGAUGGCUUUCAUUAUAUUUGGGAAAUCUUGAGGGGUUUUUGCCCGUCAAGAGAAAUCACCUUUCCAUGCAGGAGACCCAAUAAAAUUAUGUAUUACCACUCAUUAUGCUUAAUUAAUCCAUAAAAACACCAAAAUCAGAUCAUUAUUAAUGGAUAAAUUAGUUUUAAAGAUUUAAAAAAGAUAAUGUCAUACUAAGGAUUUCAAAGAAGAUAUUUUGGGGCUAAAACACAUAUAUUUUAUAAAUUUAACUAUUUAUGUAAAAUUUCUGUCUGCUUACAUGAAGAAAUCAGUGUUAGUAGUAUUCAUAUAGUUUAGAAUAUGAGUUAGAAUGCUAAGCUAACAGACUUAAUUUACAUUAUCAGCAAAACAUUUAGUAAUUUGAAGUAUGUUGUUUGUUAAUUUAAAAUCUUUAUUAAACAGCAUUUAUCAAGCGUUUUGUUUUUGUUUUUUGCUAUACACUCUAAACGGCUCAGAUAUUAGCAUGCUAAUGUUCACUUUGUCAGUUAGCUACACAAACAGUUGCGGGUACCUUGCAGUUAGCAGGUGUAAAUAUUUACUAACAGCGUGAGCUCCAUCUACGUCUAAGGUGCAACCUGUUUAGAUACAGUGAUGCGUUUAACUGAACUUUAGCACAAGGUUUGAACUCAUGAAAAGCUCCUAAUUUUUAGCUAGUGCUUUAGCGGUCUCUCGUGCUUGUUUCUCCCUUCUUGUAGAACAAAAGAUGAUUACAGCUCUCAGUUUAAUCUCCGAGUUGCAUUUAACUUAUGUUGCUUACAGAUGUUAAUAGCUAACCUAAAAAGACUUGAGAAGGAGUUCAGAAUUGAUUGAAAUGCUAACAAACCCCUGCCUCAGUUUAGACAGAGCAAGAGGAUUUACCAAAACGUCAGACUGUUGCUUUCAAUCCUAAAUUUUGCAACGUGAAGGUAGUUGUGCAGAGUUUUGCUAACUUUCAGUAUGAUGCAGCAGUACUCUGUUCAGAUAUUUAGAUGUGUAACUGAACUAUUUAGCAUCAGCUAUAGAUGUCUGUGUCAACAACGAAGGGAGAUGUUCAGAGAUGAGCUUCAGUCUCAGAAGGACCCUGUACUUCAUACAUAUCAAUCAAGUGCAAAAUACUUUAUUGAGCUUUUUACGUCAUAAUUACUGUCUUAAUUUUUGGUACUUAUUUUUAGAUGUCAGAGUAGAUGAACUGUAAUUUAUUUUUUUUGAUCUCGCUGGAAAUUAACAAUGUAAUUGUUUGUUUUAUUAUUUUGCGCACUAAUGUGUUUUACCAAUGUCUGAAUGUUUUACUGCACCGUCAGAAAUCACAAUAGAAACCCCGCAGCUUUGGUUUGCCUUCACACAGGACUCAUUCAGAGUCGCUGCCAAAAAACCAGCCGGGGUUGCACUUUAUGUAACAUCAUAUCUUGAUUUUAAUUUCUAUAAGAAGUUUCCUGGAAAGAACUAUGGUACUAUUUAUAGAGAAAAUAGAGAUGAUGUUGGGUUGAAUCUUUUAAUCGGAGCACAAUAAAUGGACAUUCCUGUGGAAACUGCUUCAACUGCUACUUCCUAGAAAAUAAAAUUAUGAGGACAUAAAGUUGCAAAGUGGGAAGAGUUAUUUCAUGUGCCCCUGGUUCCCUUUUCAUAUUCCCCAUAUACAAAAUUGGAGCACUUCUCUAUUGCUUGGAUUGGCUUUAACCCCUUUAAAUAAUUAGUACAAAUGAUUAAGAACUGUACCUUCUUUUUUUUCCCAACUCAAUAUACGUUGACCUUCUGUGUGAAAUUGCAGGAAGUCAAAAAUGUUUCUCCAAAUCUAGCUAACACCAACAUAUAGGCCUAUUAAGGAACCGGUAAAGAGCCUAAGUCCCUUAAUCGCUUCCACUUCCGCCCAAUGGGACUUUAUUUUGGAAAAAAUAUGCACGAUAGUCAACGGCGAGAUACAACUAAUGUUUUGAUACCGUUUAAUUGUGCCCUGAAUUACACACGUUUGUCUGUUUAAAAUAAUUUUGCCGUCAACAAAGUCAUAAAACCGUAAAGUAACAUUUAGUUUUGUUUGAAAUGGCUCAAUAAACUAAAUCUCUCGUCUCGCACGUUAGCGCUGUAAUGCUAAGCUAACGUUCACUGCUUGCUCGCUAGUAGCUAGGUAGCUUAGUUAAGUUCCACGCACAGAUGCAUCUCACCUGAUGUGUUUAAUCCAACAACUCCUGGUUCUGUUUCGUAUAGGCUUUGCCCUCUGAGGCCAUCGCUAUUGGGCGCUAUUGACCCCCUACGUGCCUGCGCGGCACUGAUGAUGAAAUUUUGUCUACGCCCACCCACAACGCGGGCCUCUCCUACAUCUGCACCUUGUACAUAUAUACAACACUGAGCUGUCUAAAGAGCAGAAGAUUUCCAGCCGGGAAACAAGAAGAACGAUGUCUACCAGCAAGCUGGCCAGAACGGGGCGAGACGCCGCUACACCCGGACAGGUGUGCGGCGUCUGCCACACGGGCUACAUCGUGCUGGGUGAUCUCUAGUGAUGGGGAGAUGAAGCUUCAUGAAGCACUGAAGCUUUGCAUCCAGUUGGUAGCUUAAGGGUGCGUCAUUUGCUCUAGUGCGCCAUCAAGUGGACAUUAAAUGUAAAACAGGCAGAGUGAGUAUAAUGGCACCACGGCUUUGGCGUGUGAGGCUUUGAAGUGACUAAUGAAUGACGUUCGCUCUGGCGUUUAUGCAGAGGAACAAGUACAAUGUUCCCGAGACCUGAAUAUCAUUGAAAAUCUGUGGGGUGAUUUGAAGCGGGCUGUCCGCGCUCAGCAACCGUCAAACCUAACUGAACUGGAGAUGUUUUGCAAGGAGGAAAGGUCCAAAAUACCUUCAUCCAGAAUCCAGACACUCAUCACAGGCUAUAGGAAGCGUCUAGAGGCCGUUAUUUCUGCCAAAAGAGGCUCAACUAAAUAUUGAUGUGAUAUUGCUGUUGAGGUGCCCAAAUUUAUGCACCUGUCUACUUUCGUUUUGAUGCAUAUUGCACAUUUUCUGUUCUCAUCCAAUAAAACUCAUUUCACUACUGAAA